AUUUCAGUAGUGUGUGGAUAUUGUGAACUAAAUUUAGCAAGUCUUAGAACUAAAGCUAAUCUUCAGAAUGGAUCUCAGAAGAGCAAAGAAAGCCAGGCAGUGGUGGCACAUGCCUUUAAUCCUAGCACUCAGGAGGCGGAGGCAGGUGGAUCUCAGAGGCCAGCCUGGACUACAGAGCAAAUUCCAGGAAAACCAGGGCUACACAGAGAAAUCCUAUCUCAAGGAAAAAAGAAGAGCGAAGUAGAAGGUAGUAUUAAAACUGAAAUUCCCUGGGUUCGGUCCCCAGCUCCGAAAAAAAGAACCAAAAAAAAAAAAAAAAAAA
rnacentral:lncRNA from 1 species